rnacentral:sRNA from 1 species
CCUUUUUUCUUCUUCUUCUUCUUCCUCUCAGGAGCUUCAGUCUU